rnacentral:rRNA from 1 species
GAUGAACGCUAGCGGCAGGCUUAAUACAUGCAAGUCGAGGGGCAGCACAGGUAGCAAUACUGGGUGGCGACCGGCAAACGGGUGCGGAACACGUACACAACCUUCCUUUAAGCGGGGAAUAGCCCAGAGAAAUUUGGAUUAAUACCCCAUAGAAUACUGGUGAGGCAUCUCAUUAAUAUUAAAGAUUUAUCACUUGAAGAUGGGUGUGCGUCUGAUUAGGUAGUUGGCGGGGUAACGGCCCACCAAGCCAUCGAUCAGUAACUGGUGUGAGAGCACGACCAGUCACACGGGCACUGAGACACGGGCCCGACUCCUACGGGAGGCAGCAGUAAGGAAUAUUGGUCAAUGGACGCAAGUUCUGAACCAGCCAUGCCGCGUGGAGGAUGAAGGU